UUUUCGUCACACUUAAACACUCCCUCCAAACUCCAACUCCAACUCCGUUCUCUCCGAAUCUCCGCUUCCCUCUCAAACAACCCUACACACCAACUCACUCCCCUCCCCUCAACCGAACAAUUCAUUUCCCGAUUUGCCCUUGACGAACCUCGAAAAGGCGCCGACAUCCUCGUCGAAGCUCUCGAACGUCAAGGCGUCACCAAUGUCUUCGCCUAUCCCGGCGGCGCGUCAAUGGAAAUUCACCAAGCACUCACGCGCUCCACCACCAUCCGGAACGUCCUUCCCCGCCACGAACAAGGUGGAAUUUUCGCCGCUGAGGGUUACGCUCGUUCCUCCGGCCUCCCUGGUGUCUGCAUCGGUUUAACAAUUUAAUUAUUAAUUUAAAUUUAUAGAUAAAUUAAUAAAUAUUUAAAAUAAAAUAGUUAAAUUAUUAAGCUAAUAAUAUUUUAAAGUUUUAUCAAAUAUAUAUUAUGAUAAAAAUUAUUUAGAAUAUGUAACACGAACUUUUGAAAAAAUCAGAUAUUCAAUUAAAUAAUAAAAUAUUUUAAAAAAUCAAAGUUCAAAGAUUUUUUUGAAUUGACUAAAAAUAAAAGUUGGUAUUUUUAAAGAUAUUAGAAAUAUAUUAAUUCUUAAAAAAAAAAAAACUACAAAUAUUUCAAUCAGAAUAGUAUUCCAAUGACACGUGACUUCCACCUAAGGGUGCAACAUAUGCAUGCAUUUGGAUUCGGUUUGGUCCUGGUUUUUUCCUUUUUUUGAGUUUUGGUACAGGGCUCCUGAUUUUUUCUAUUUGAGGUAUUAUUUUUUAAAAUUAAAUAUUUUCCUCUCAAAAUUUUUGGUGAAAUUGUCUCAUUAUAUUUUUGAGAAGAGAAGCUUCUUAUUUUAUUUACUAAUGUUUGUUUUGGACUAAUUUUAUCACUAAAGAAAAUAACAAACAAUAGUUUUGUCAAAAAAGAAAAUAUAAAACAAUAGAGAUUUUAAAGGCCUGCAUUUUGGAACUGUUUCAUUCAACAGAAAAAUGGCGACCAACGCUGCUAGAGCCGCAUUCACCACCGUGCCUUUAUCUUCACCACAUUCUCCAAACCCAAACAGCAUUUUCCGAUUCACCGUUCCGUUUUCGUCACACUUAAACACUCCCUCCAAACUCCAACUCCAACUCCGUUCUCUCCGAAUCUCCGCUUCCCUCUCAAACAACCCUACACACCAACUCACUCCCCUCCCCUCAACCGAACAAUUCAUUUCCCGAUUUGCCCUUGACGAACCUCGAAAAGGCGCCGACAUCCUCGUCGAAGCUCUCGAACGUCAAGGCGUCACCAAUGUCUUCGCCUAUCCCGGCGGCGCGUCAAUGGAAAUUCACCAAGCACUCACGCGCUCCACCACCAUCCGGAACGUCCUUCCCCGCCACG
rnacentral:lncRNA from 1 species